UUUAAUGAGAGUUUGAUCCUGGCUCAGGACGAACGCUGGCGGCGUGCCUAAUACAUGCAAGUAGAACGCUGAGGUUUGGUGUUUACACUAGACUGAUGAGUUGCGAACGGGUGAGUAACGCGUAGGUAACCUGCCUCAUAGCGGGGGAUAACUAUUGGAAACGAUAGCUAAUACCGCAUAAGAGUAAUUAACACAUGUUGGUUAUUUAAAAGGAGCAAUUGCUUCACUGUGAGAUGGACCUGCGUUGUAUUAGCUAGUUGGUGAGGUAAAGGCUCACCAAGGCGACGAUACAUAGCCGACCUGAGAGG
rnacentral:rRNA from 1 species